GCAUCUAAAGGAUUAUUUGUAAAAAAGUAAUCAUAGAAACAACUUUCAACAAUGGAUCUCUUGGCUCUCGCAUCGAUGAAGAACGCAGCGAAAUGCGAUACGUAAUGUGAAUUGCAGAAUUCCGUGAAUCAUCGAAUCUUUGAACGCACCUUGCGCCUCUUGGUAUUCCGAGGGGCAUGCCUGUUUGAGUGUCAUUGAAACCCUCAAGAAGAAAGUCUUUCGGGGCCUUCUUUUUGGAACUGGAGUGUGCUGGCCUUUUCGUGGAAGAGCCCAGCUCCUCUGAAAUGCAUUGGCGAUGUGACAUCCUCAUGCCAUCACGCUUCUCUAGCAUUGAUAGUCUCUUUCAUGCUUUAGUGU
rnacentral:rRNA from 1 species